rnacentral:tRNA from 1 species
CAAAGGGUAGUUUAAUUAGAA